rfam:TPA: Bos taurus chromosome 8, whole genome shotgun sequence.
UCCCUAAUAGCUUAGUUGGUAAAGAAUCUGCCUGCAAUACAGGAGACCCUGGUUUGAUUCCUGGGUCAGGAA